rnacentral:rRNA from 1 species
UUGAACGCUGGCGGCAGGCCUAACACAUGCAAGUCGAACGGUAACAGGAAGCAGCUUGCUGCUUUGCUGACGAGUGGCGGACGGGUGAGUAAUGUCUGGGAAACUGCCCGAUGGAGGGGGAUAACUACUGGAAACGGUAGCUAAUACCGCAUAACGUCGCAAGACCAAAGAGGGGGACCUUAGGGCCUCUUGCCAUCGGAUGUGCCCAGAUGGGAUUAGCUAGUAGGUGGGGUAACGGCUCACCUAGGCGACGAUCCCUAGCUGGUCUGAGAGGAUGACCAGCCACACUGGAACUGAGACACGGUCCAGACUCCUACGGGAGGCAGCAGUGGGGAAUAUUGCACAAUGGGCGCAAGCCUGAUGCAGCCAUGCCGCGUGUAUGAAGAAGGCCUUCGGGUUGUAAAGUACUUUCAGCGGGGAGGAAGGGAGUAAAGUUAAUACCUUUGCUCAUUGACGUUACCCGCAGAAGAAGCACCGACUAACUCCGUGCCAGCAGCCGCGGUAAUACGGAGGGUGCAAGCGUUAAUCGGAAUUACUGGGCGUAAAGCGCACGCAGGCGGUUUGUUAAGUCAGAUGUGAAAUCCCCGGGCUCAACCUGGGAACUGCAUCUGAUACUGGCAAGCUUGAGUCUCGUAGAGGGGGGUAGAAUUCCAGGUGUAGCGGUGAAAUGCGUAGAGAUCUGGAGGAAUACCCGGUGGCGAAGGCGGCCCCCUGGACGAAGACUGACGCUCAGGUGCGAAAGCGUGGGGGAGCAAACAGGAUUAGAUACCCUGGUAGUCCACGCCGUAAACGAUGUCGACUUGGAGGUUGUGCCCUUGAGGCGUGGCUUCCGGAGCUAACGCGUUAAGUCGACCGCCUGGGGAGUACGGCCGCAAGGUUAAAACUCAAAUGAAUUGACGGGGGCCCGCACAAGCGGUGGAGCAUGUGGUUUAAUUCGAUGCAACGCGAAGAACCUUACCUGGUCUUGACAUCCACGGAAGUUUUCAGAGAUGAGAAUGUGCCUUCGGGAACCGUGAGACAGGUGCUGCAUGGCUGUCGUCAGCUCGUGUUGUGAAAUGUUGGGUUAAGUCCCGCAACGAGCGCAACCCUUAUCCUUUGUUGCCAGCGGUCCGGCCGGGAACUCAAAGGAGACUGCCAGUGAUAAACUGGAGGAAGGUGGGGAUGACGUCAAGUCAUCAUGGCCCUUACGACCAGGGCUACACACGUGCUACAAUGGCGCAUACAAAGAGAAGCGACCUCGCGAGAGCAAGCGGACCUCAUAAAGUGCGUCGUAGUCCGGAUUGGAGUCUGCAACUCGACUCCAUGAAGUCGGAAUCGCUAGUAAUCGUGGAUCAGAAUGCCACGGUGAAUACGUUCCCGGGCCUUGUACACACCGCCCGUCACACCAUGGGAGUGGGUUGCAAAAGAAGUAGGUAGCUUAACCUUCGGGAGGGCGCUUACCACUUUGUGAUUCAUGACUGGGG